UACGGGGGGGGCAAGCGUUGUUCGGAAUUACUGGGCGUAAAGGGCGCGUAGGCGGCCUUCUAAGUCGGACGUGAAAGCCCCAGGCUUAACCUGGGAACUGCGUCCGAUACUGGGAGGCUUGGAUUCGGGAGAGGGAUGUGGAAUUCCAGGUGUAGCGGUGAAAUGCGUAGAUAUCUGGAGGAACACCGGUGGCGAAGGCGGCAUCCUGGACCGAGAUCGACGCUGAGGCGCGAAAGCUAGGGGAGCAAACGGG
rnacentral:rRNA from 1 species